CCUCUAGGACUUGGCCUUUAGAAUAAUGAUAUGGUUCAACAGACGUCACUUGUAUUGCACUCAUUAUUUUCUUCCAUUAUUCUGAAACGGCUGUAUUUAUGUGCUGAGAUUAGUGCGGAGGGAGAGAGCGGGAAAGAUGACCCUGGCAGAUGUCGGAGGUUACUUCCAUCUUCCGAUCGAAAAGGCUUCUGAAAGAUUGCAUUUGUGUCCUACCGUUGUCAAGAAAAUUUGCCGAAAAGGUGGAGUGGGGCGGUGGCCUUAUAGAAAGAUUCAAUGUAUUGAGAGAAAGAUCUUGGAAUUAAGGGAGCAGCUAAAGAGAGAAGAUGAACCGAAAAGGAGUCGCACCCAAGCAGAGAUUGACGAAUGGCAACGAAAUUUGGACAAGAUCCGCUAUGGAGUCGCUAGAGCAGACUAGUACGGCGUUUACUAAGUUGGAUACAUUUUAUAUGCUGCGAGACUUUGAGACCUUGAUGAGUCAUAUACUUUCGUCUUUCGGCACAUUUUGGUUUGUGUACAGUGGUGCUGUGAGCAAAGCGAGGACAAAGACGAAUACUCUUUCUUGCAUUAUACACUUACAUCUGUGAUCAGAAUUUCUUGUUGCCUCGAAAGAGAAUAUAAUAUUUUUGUGUGAAAUUCUGUA